ACGCUCGACACCUACGGGAAGCAGCAGUGGGGAAUAUUGCACAAUGGGGGAAACCCUGAUGCAGCGACGCCGCGUGGAGGAAGAAGGUCUUCGGAUUGUAAACUCCUGUUGUUGGGGAAAAAGAGGAUGGUACCCAACAAGGAAGUGACGGCUAACUACGUGCCAGCAGCUGCGUAAUCUGGAGCGGGCUAGGCAAGGC
rnacentral:rRNA from 1 species